UCUAGACAAUUGAAGUCAUCUGCUGACUGCAUAUACGUCUACAGACAUAUAUAAACCAGUGGCAAGUACAUAUUUCAGACAUCGACAGGAUUUUGAAGCAGUUGAAAAGAAUUAAAACACUGAAUUGCAGAAUUAAAACAUUGAAUUGCAAUUAACCUGGCGAACUUUUACUUCCAUCGUCUGGACUCCAUGCAAAAUUCUUUAUUGAGAAUGAAGGUGUUAAUAGGCAUAUUUCUAACACUUAUAUUCAUUACCCAAUGUAUUGCACAAGACUGUCCAUAUACAUGUUUACGGGAUGAAGAAUGCCUGUUCUAUAAUGAAACCUAUGGGAACGAGACUUAUUCAGGUUAUUCCUGUGAAUGUAAAUCAGGACUCUACUCUUACCCAGGUAUGGUUGAA